UACGUAGGGGGCAAGCGUUGUCCGGAAUUAUUGGGCGUAAAGAGCGCGUAGGCGGUCCGGUAAGUCGGCUGUGAAAGUCAAGGGCUCAACCCUUGAAAGCCGGCCGAUACUGUCGGACUAGAGUCCGGAAGAGGCGAGUGGAAUUCCCGGUGUAGCGGUGAAAUGCGCAGAUAUCGGGAGGAACACCAAUGGCGAAGGCAGCUCGCUGGGACGGUACUGACGCUGAGGCGCGAAAGCUAGGGGAGCGAACAGG
rnacentral:rRNA from 1 species